rnacentral:rRNA from 1 species
UGGCGAACGGGUGAGUAACACGUGGGUGAUCUGCCCUGCACUUUGGGAUAAGCCUGGGAAACUGGGUCUAAUACCAGAUAGGAGCCAUUUUUAGUGUGAUGGUUGGAAAGUUUUUUCGGUGCAAGAUGAGCUCGCGGCCUAUCAGCUCGUUGGUGGGGGUAAUGGCCUACCAAGGCGUCGACGGGUAGCCGGCCUGAGAGGGUGGACGGCCACAUUUGGACUGAGAUACGGCCCAG